UCACCUCUGACCACACAGUGGGUGGCAGCAGUAAUGCUGCCCCUUCUGCCAUACCUGUUAGCACCAUGGCAGUGCUCGUGGGCAUGAAAUCUCUGCAGCAAACAUUACAAGACCUGUGUGUGUGAGAGAGCUGCACUUCUGUCACCACAGCAAGAGGAACAGUGUGUGACAGCAGCUGGGGUCUGAAGAUCAAGACUGCUCCCACCCAGAUUAGAGGCUUGAGAGUAACACUCUUUGCCAGGUGAGGCUGGGGUGGGCAUACCAGACUCCAGUCAGCCGGUGCCACCCCAGGCUGCCCCUCUCCUUGGGGCCAUCAGCAGAGUGUGUGCUGAUGGUCUGCAAAGCACUGGCAUGGAUGUCCAAUGGACAGUGCUGGCGCCAGACUCUGUGCCGGAGGAAGUGAAUCUAGGUCACAGAUCCUCUUUGAGAACAAGUACAUCUGAUGCUGCCAAGGGAAACAAACUGGCAGGAGAAAGGGGAACAAACCAGCUUGAAAGCAACAGGAGAUUGUGGAGAAGUAACUCAGUGACUGAAACAAGGAUAUUCUAGGAAGGCUUACGGUUCUGCGCUGGAAGAGGUAUUUCCAGGAAGGAAGAAGAGAAGAAGGAGGAAGAUGUUUGGUUUGCUGGGCAGCUUGUUCUUCCCCAUGGUGCAGAGCAGGUCGUGACUGCUGAAAACUGAAACCAAAAACCAAUCUGAAUGGACAUAUGCAAAGUACAAUUUAACGGGAAGACUUAACAGGAACAAAGCCAGAGAGCAUCUUCACAUCAAUAAUGAGCAUGUUGGAGCUGCUGCGCUUCCCUGUGUAACUGAAACAACAGGGGCAUCCGUCAGUGUGGAUCAUACUUGGAGAACCAAACUUUAGCUCCCUGCUCCUGCCUUCAUACAGCGUGGAGAGGAUGGUGUGAAUCACAUGCACUUGCUGACUGGCUCAGGUGGGAGACACUGGUGAGGCCCCGGUGUGAAGGGGCCAAGUAUGUGCUACCACCAUCAGUUACUGUCACGAGGUCUUUUGGGAUAUUGUGUCUUACAGGCUGAUAUCAUCAACAUAUUGAUUGGUUCAUGUUUCUUGACUUCAUAAGCAGAACUGAAAACACACAGCAAUGUUCUCUGUGUAUCUUGUCAUCUGUGCAGCUGGUUUGUUGCUGGUGCAUUACCUGCUUGUGAGGACAAUAUCGAAUUUUGCUGGUCGAUCUGGUGGGCAGGAAGCAUUUGAUGUCUCUACAGAAAGCAGAAAUCCAAAGGCCCCCUUUGGAAGGUGAAUGUUGUAUCUCAGUGUUGUCUGGAAGAGAAAAAACCCUUUUGUUCAAGCAUGCCAAGGAUUUUCUUUGUAUUAAAAAAACACAAGUGUCAGACUUAUGAACUUUUCUGGCAAUGUUGCACUUGGUUUUAUGUGGAAGAUCCUUGCUUACAUCCAUGAUGAACACAUCAGACUUCUGCUCUUUAACAAUGAAGGUGCUUGUAUGCAGAAUCACCUCUGAGAAAGAAACUAGAUGCUGAAGAGAAAGGACUCUUUUUCAAUGCCAUAACUCUGCAGGAGUCAAAAUGUGGGAUGGGGAAAAGAGUAUUUUAUGGUUUAGGGAAAUUAAGGAAUUAGGAAAAAUAAAGAGAAGUCAGCUAGAAAAUCAUCAAAACUGUGGCUGUAUUGUAUACAAAAAGCGAGGUACAAUGAAGAGAAGAGCAGGCAUUUACCUGCAUAAAUACGCAUCCACUGCCAUUCACUUUUAGGCUGUAUUUCCCAGGGACCUCAGGAAGGGGAGUCUGUUGCAGCAGGAGCCUGUUCUCAUUGUUGACAAUAAAUACCUUCUCAAAAGGCUUUUUGGAAGUGAUCUUCACUCUGUUUUGUGUAGCAGAGUUGUAGAUGGCCUCACCAUAAGCAGCAAGGGCUUGAAGAGCAAUGACUGUGUCCUGAAGAAAAAGAAAAUAAUAAAAGACAAUUAGCUACGCGGCAUGACCAGUGCAGAGGAGAUCAAAGUCACAAUUCCAGUCGCUUCAUCCUGGCUAAAGAAAACCUGAAUCUGUGCAUAGUUCCAUGGUUCCCAUACAAAAGGAGCCAUUUCUUUCUGUCAUAUAUGUUUUAGGGUGGAAGAAAUCUCUCUCCCCAUACAAAGGUUUCAGAACAUAAAAUCUGAGCACUAGAGCACACUUCCAGAGUUUUUCGUAGUGGUGAAUCCUGUGUUUUCUGGGGAACUGCACAGCACUUGUUGGUCAUAUAACAGCUGGAACUUGGUGUUUUCUAGGCUCAUCCCUGCUAAAAAUAUCUGUAUUUGUUGCUAGACAAAUUACUCUUGUAUGGCUUUCACCAUUUUAUAGUUAAGAAGAGAGGGAAAAAUAGUAGUUUGGUUUCUCUAAGAGAGAGGUGUUUGGUCUCUGUGUGUUUUAGAUGGCAGAUGGAGAAGCAAAAUAAGAAUAGGUAGUCAAAGCCUUGCUGGAACCCUGAAACAGUGUCCCAAUUCCUAGGACUGGGUGGAGAGUGGAAAGUAAUUUUGGCACCUGCGUAGAAGAGAAACCUCCAUAGGGAUUCUGCUGCCUUAUGAUCCACUGCACAAUCCUCGAGGCCUUUGUGAAAUCCUCUUUAUCCCAGCUGGGUUUGUAGAACAAUGCCAACAACACGUAACUGGUGAUCUCAACUUCAGCUGAUGGGGCGUGGUCAAGGAAGGAGGGAGAUUCUUCUGAUGGAGACCUCUCCUCCUGCUCCCAGUGCUGUGAGCCAUCUGAAUAAGCAAAGAGAGGCUGAGAAGCAACCAAAAUUGAUUACAGGUGCCACUGCUCUAUGCUGCCUCAGAGGCUUAACUGUGUCCUAACCUCUUCCUCAAAAGUUCUCUCUGAAGACCAGUGGAUGUACUGUAGAUUAACUCCAUAGAUUAUUUGCGGAAUUUAUUUCAUGUGCCCAUACUCUCAAUAUUGUCAAGGUUAGAUUCCAAAACUCUGAAAAUGACUGAAACUCACCAACUUCCUUUGCUGAUUUCUGUAACUCUUCAAGGAAUGAUUCACAUUUUUCUGCCUUGCCAGCUAAGCAGAAAGCAUAGGCCAUGAGUGCCUGAGUGUAAACAUCACUGAUACUCUUCUCAGAUGCAGUCUCCAGACAAAAAAAGGCAUUUCGGAUUACAUAAUCCUUAAAACCAAAAAGCACAUGGGUCUAAUUCAGGACAGUAGUUUGCACCUGGUCAAAAAAUUUAUUUUCUUUAAAACUGUUCUUCAUCCUGUCGCUAUCACAGCAAUGAGAAUGGAACUUCAGCUUGUAUAAUGACUUCAGGAGAGAGAACAGAGAAGUCUUCAAGGAAGAUUUUAAUGGGAAACAUCAGACAAAUCAAGUACUGCUAAUCAUGUUCUUGAAGAGAAAACGAACAGAGUGGGAGUGGGAACCAAGGGAGAAAAUUACAUAGACAUCUCCCAGAGGGGAAAAAACAAACCACUUGAAAGACAAUAUCUUCUGUCCCUUCAGUGCUACUGGGAAGAUUCUACAGGAACAAAACCUGAGAGCAUCUUCACAUCAAUAAUAGCCAUAUUGGAGACUUUACGCUUUCCUGUGUAACUAAAAUGAGAAAAGUUCUGUUAGUCUGGUCUGCAAACAGAAAGGAAAUCAAUGAAUGACAUUUUCAGUUUCCAAUAAUCCCGAUUUUCUUCCUAUAGCUGCACAGUAGCAGUUAACUGCCCAUAUUUAAAUCCUUUCUUGCAUGAUUUACAAAACUGUGAAUGCCAAGAGGAUAGAUGAAUGAAAGGAAGUUACCUGGCAAAGAGGACAAGGUCAAACUUGGGUGGAUAGUUGCUUGUGCAAGAUACAUUUGCUGUCCUUAUGGAGAGAGAAAAUCCUGCAACUUUAUUUGGCAAAUGGAUGUUGUAUCUCAGGGUUGUCUAAAAGAGAUGGAAAGUGUGAGAUGGUCACAGACUUAAAAGGGUUUUGUGUCUUUGGCAUGACAUAUGCAGAGGAAACAAUUAUGGAGAACCCCCUGCUUAUAUCUCAGAGAGGUGGUGCUGAGUUUCCAGCUUGCUUACCUGCAGAUAAACACAGCCAGUGCCAUUCACUUCCACACUGUAAUUCCCUGGAAUAGUGGUCAAGGAAGCCUGCUGCAGUAAGAAGCGGUUCUUGUCAUUCACCUGGAAAAUCCUACUGGAGGACUCCAUGGAGUGGACUUUGACUGUGUUAAGAUUUGUUUUUGAGAAGGUGAGGUAUCCGUACUGGGCUAAAGCUUGGAGAGCAACAACAGUGUCCUGAAAAGAGAACAAUCCCUAAUUAGAUAACUAAAUGUAAGAUGAGAUUAGCGCAGCUCCUAUUUCCUUGAUACUUUGUCAGUGCUCAUAAGUGGAGAGGGGCUUGGCAAAGAGCUCAGGAGACAAGAUACAAGUUUCUUGUAGAACUUGUACUGGUGGACAAAAAGCUAAGCCUAAGCCAGCAGUGUGUCCUGGUAACCAAGGCACAUUAGGAAGAGCUUUGCCAGCAGGUCAAGGGAGCCAAUCCUGCCUGUCUACUCAGCUUUAGUGAGACACAUCUGGAGUGCUGUGUCCAGUUCUCAGCUCCUCAGUAAAGAGAGACAUGGAGCUCCUGGAGCAGAUCCAAAGAAGGAUGACAAAGAUGAUUAAAGGAAUAAAGCAUCUCUUCUAAGGAAAGGCUGAAGGAGCUGGGCUUGUUCAGCCUCAAAAAGAGAUGAAUGAGAGGGGACCUCAUCAAUGUUUAUAAAUAUCUGAAGGGAAGAUUUUGUCAAGAAGAUACAACCAGGCUCUUCUCAGUGGUGUCAAGCAAUAGGACAAGAGGCAAUGGGCAGAAAGUGAUGCACAGGAAGUUCCACCUGAACACAAGGAAGAACUUCUUUACUGUGCAGGUGAGUGUGCGCUGGAACAGAUUGCCCAGAGAGGUUGUUAAGCCUCCCUUACUGGAGAUAUUGAAGAACCAUCUGGAUGCAAUCAUGUGCAAUGUGCUCUAGGAUAGUCCUGCUUGAGUAGUGAGGUUGCACCAGAUGACCCGCUGUGGUCCCUUCCAAUCGGACCGAUUCUGUGAUUCUGUGGCAACAAAUUUCGAUUACCCCAGAACACCCAGAAUAAUGCUGUGUCAACAGUGACUGCUGUCUACUGCUAACUUGGAACCCAGGUAAAUUGUCAUUGCCUAAAACUAAAUUAUGUAUGAAACUGCCUACAAAGAGCAUGAUGUGUCCUGGCAAGAUAACCUAUGCGAGCACCAGUUAUCAAGUAUUAUUCAAAUCAAUAUGCAGUCAAGAAGAAUUGUUUUACUACUGAGAUUCAGCUUGCAGACUGGACUGCUCCCAGAAGCUUUCUUUUUACCACACCCAGUUGUUACCUGGCUGGAGGAAAAACCACCAUAUGGGUUCUGUUGUUUGACAAGCCAGUACACAAUGCGGGAAAUGUAGGACAAGUCUUCUGGAGCAAAUUUGGUUCUGUUGAGCAAAGCCAGGAGCACAUAGCUGGUAAUUUCAACCUCAGCAGAAGGGGCACGGGAAAGGAAGUCAGGGAAAUGUUCUGCUGGUGGCUUAUUUUCUCUCUGCCAAUAAACUGAACCACCUGAAAACAGAAAAGUGGGGUGUGAAAAGAAUGGAAAAAUUACUUGCUGUUUUACUCAUUGCAGUAUCAUUGCAGGAAAUAGAUAUACAAUUCUGUCUCUCUCUCUCUCUUCAGGAAAUUUUUUAAGCUAUUGGUGUUCCAAAUGGGGUAAGUUUUACUUCCAGGAUGGAAAAGAAAACAGAAAAGGAUGGAAAGGGAAUAAAUAAAAGGAGGCUGUAUAAGUCAGAGACAGACUGAAAUGAAGGCAGGGCAGCAAAAGGAUGCUAAGGCAGCCACAGACAGAAGCACAUAACAUAGUCAAGGGAACUGGGCUUGUUCAGCGUGUAGAAGAGGAACCUAAUCAGGAAAUUAGGUACAGUCUUCCAGUACCUUGGACUGAGACUUGCAGGGGACUCUCUCUCCACCUAAAUUAUUUUAUAAUUCUAGGAAGAUCAGGCCACAGCUCAAACUUUUGUGAAGCCAAAACACACAGACAGAAAAACUCAGAGGUAAAUUCAGUAGCAUAGCAGGCAUGAAAUGGGAAGGGAGAAGCAAACAUGAGAAAACUGUGCAUCAGAAUAGCUUACACCACACAACAGGCUAUUCCAUCAGCUGUAUUGCUUGUACCAUGGCCAUACUGCCCUUACCAUCUCUGACAGCUCUCGUGUCCAGCUUCUCCAGGAAGAACUGGUGUCUUUUCUCUAUGCCAGCUAAGCCGUAAGCAUAGGCAAAGAGGGCCUGGUUAUACAGGUUGUGGACCCCAUUGCUAAAUGCAGUCUCCAAACAGUUCAUGCCGCUCCGAACGACAGGAUGCUGAUAAUGCAAAACACAGUAGGCUUGUCAGGUACUUGGAUUUGUGUCUCUGCUUCUCUUUAAAUACUUCCAUCACGCUUAAGAUGCAAUCACUGACCUUUCAUGCUAGAAAUACACGAUCCAUGGCACAUUUAAGGGCCUACAGUGUGUAUCAGACCUUUCAGCCUUACAGACUGUCUCUGCAAGAGCUACUUCAUCUCAGACAUUACCAGCACACUACUUGCCAUGUCUUGUCUACGCAGCUUUCCUUAAACAUAUGGCACCAGGUUUUUCUAAAGAUACUGGAAACUAAAUUAAUGUUGCUGAAGAACUAUUUGAUUCUGCACAAUGUUUUCAUCCUGGUCUCAGGUACUUAACUGAUAUCCCAUACUGUAGUAACUGAAAAAUGUGCAAUAAAUCAGCACAUCUAGAAUAUAUUUGUCAGCUUGGGAACAGUUCUCCUCUUCCCCAUUAUAAAAGAACAAAGUCAACAUAAAAACAGAAAAUGCAGGCAGUAUACUAUGCAGAACAGAACUUGGAUGCCAUUCCCCUGUGUCUAGUAUUCCAACCAGCAACUCGUCAUUUUCUUCCUCUAACAAUUCCAUAGGGAAAUGGAAACACAGCCUGGAGCUAAAUGUGCAGAGUGAUUUUGUAGGACUGAAGGUUUUGGACUGGGCAAAUUCAGAGAAAAAUCUAAAGUGGACUCUGGAUGGGGUGGGAAAAUUCAGUCUGGAUUUUGCAAUUACUUAGACUACUAUUACAUAAAACAACUGGAUUCCGCAGAGGUUUUUUAAAUUAAUCCAAAGGCAUUGGAUACAUAACUGAUUUGUAACACUCAUCAAAUACUUAUGGCUACUUCAGUUCUGGAAACUACUGUCUACAGGCUGCUACUGUCCUGCAAUCAUUAUUCGCGUUCCACAUUGUUAAAUAAUACAGAUGCGAGGACUGUGACUUGUGCACUCUUUGACAAAUGCCUGACUGUACCAACACAGCACCAAAUACCUACUGCAGUAGAGUGUCCAGCCUCCAGCAAUGCUGCCACCACGUAGGCUGUGAGUGAGUAUUCAACCUCUUCUCCACCCUGAUGAAAAAGAAGCAAAGAAUUGGUUAGUACAAAUAUCCUAGAAAGAAACAACAUAAUUAAUUCACAGCUCAUAUAUCAGUUAGAUUUGAGAUCAGAAGUAAUUUCUGUCUCCCUGUGUGAAGAUCAAGCUCACUUAAUAUAAAGCUAAAAUUAUUUAAUGCAUUUUCUUGACUUUUGCAUAUCACAUAUCAUGUGAUAAAGCACAUGAUAACCUGUAGCUGAGCACAUAACACAGUAAUGGAAAAUAAAACCUGAGACUUAUAACUCAGAAAGUUCUAAUUGUUUUUACCUCAUCAUCAAUUGCAGACAUAAGAAUCAUGCUCUGCUUGUAUAUGAGAGACACAAGAGAACAGUACUAGGAAGAGUAAGGGUGUGGUGACAAGCUUGCAUCUCAGAAAUUGUCCAAAUCAAUCCUAGCAGCAGGACUGGAAGUUUGGGACUAUACUCAGUUACCUUCAAAGCAUUGUUGAAAUGCGAACCAGCAUUUUCAAAGCAGCCAUCUGACUUCUGCUUGCUUGCCAGCCAGAUCAAAGUUUGAGACUGGACAUUGUCAUCAAUGUAGAUGUAGCGUUUGGCCUGUGCAAAUGACUUAUACACAAAGGCAGUGAGCCUGCAGGUGGUCCAGAAACAGAAAGUAGGUAUGGUGUGAACAAGACCAAGAAGACUUACCAGUGCAUAGGAUGUGCAUAGAAAAUGACAUAAAGUGAACUUCAUAAUGUUUGAGGUUAAAGAAGCAAGUGUUUUCUAAGUUUUAAAUAAAUAACAUAGAUAAAAUCCUGAUAUUAAAAACAGACCUGAUAUUUCUCCUGAAAAAAACAAGUGCUGAAAGAAUUUUUCAGAGCAGGGGUAAAGUAUAGACACAGCUCAAUGAUUGAUGUUACUAAUUUCUAAGCUUAAUUAAUAGAAUUAUGAAACAAACUAGGUCAGAAGUUCAAAGUUCUGUCAGGUUACUCAGUCUUGUCCAAUCAUGUGAAAGUCUAUAGGAAUAGAGAUACCCACAUCUUCUCUGGACAUUUGACUCAAUGCUGCAGCCUUCUCCUGGGCAAGAUUUUUUUCCCUUCUACCCAGUUAGAGUUGUUUUUGUUGCCAUUUGAGUAAGGACAUACUCUUGACUUUACUCUGUGUACCCCUGGCAAGAGUCUGACUCUGUGUUUUCCACAGUCCCUAUCUAGAUAGCAGAAAGCUUUUCCUAGGUUUCCCGUUAGCUUUCUCUUCUACAUGCUGAACAAACCCAGAUCCUUCAGUUUCCCCUUGAACAUUAUGUACUCCAGCUCCCAGUCAUCAUACCAUCCUUUUGUUGUACUCUUUCCAGUCUAUUAAUCUCUCCUUUACUAGGGAAUUCAAAUUAAUUGAGCUAUAUCCAUUUAGACUAUUAAAAAUAAGAAUCAUUGAAUACAUUGAUUGUUUUUCAAAGCCUAACGAUCCACUGUUAGGGAAAUAGAAGGUAUCAUCACUUACCAUACAUUCCCUUCCCUAUCUCGUCUCCCAAAGGAGCUGUAGGAUCCAUCCCCGUGUUUGUAUGACAGCUGUUUUUGGUAACCUGAAAACAUAAUAAAGAAGACACAUUUUCUAAUCACAGAAAAA